UGUAACACACUGAAAAGUGACAGCUCGAGAGCUUUACCCAGAGCCAAGCGGCUUCUCUUCCCACAAGAGGGAGCCCGGCGGUCACCGCAGGAUCAGAUCCGUGCCGGCUCGGAAGCGCUGUGCGAUCUCUCGCCGGCCAGCAGAGGGGAUGUGCCGGGCAGCCCGGCCCCAAUUUACCCCUCAUCGCAGGAAUUCUCAGUCUCAAAUCAUAGGUAUGUGUCUGCCACCGUAGUCUUAAAGAAAUUUUGUAUCCAAUUAAAAUACUGCUCUGUUCAAUGCGUAAAGUAUCAGCAAAAAUUCAGAGAACACUUCAAUUCCCAGUGCAAUUUCGGGAGUUGUGCUACCCCAGUACAUAAAGAGGAUGUAUUAUUCACUGGUAAGUGUGCACACAGAAAUCCCUCAUCUGACUCAUCCUCCCUCCAGAAAGGACACAAAUGUCAGAAAAGAAAUAGAAACUGCUCUAUAAAUCAGAAUGGUGAGCCUUCAGUAAAAGUUCUGUAUGAAUUCAGAACGUAUCCCAGUGAUGUCACAUACCUGCCAUUGUUUAUAACCAUGCCAGUACAAUCUUAUCAUUCCUAGAAAUACAUUGCAUGUCAGAUUUUUGUUGGUCAAACUACCACUAAGCAAACAAAUAGUAUCAAUAGAGAAAAGGCAAUUUAUUUUAUUUCUGUGACAGAUUGAGAAGUUUUGAAAAAUUUAUAGAGUUAUUUAUAAAACACAUAGGUUUUAUUAUGAUUUAGGUCAUAAUCUGUUUUCCAUAUAGGUUGACCAAUGCCUGUUUUGUGUUAAAAGCUGAGGAAACAAGAGCAGGAAAAGCAGUUAAAGCCAGGAAACAAAAGACAGGAGGGAUGAACUAUGCAAAAGUCAAUACAUGAGUCUGUGAUAUAGCUGAAAAUACCCAAAAAUAUUUUGAUUUUCAUAUAAAGGAGCAUGGAGAGGAAAACUGUUUAAUGGAUUUUGAAACAGUGCAUAUCUCAAAGGUAAGAGAGCUACUCCUGUGGAAUUGUGCUUUUCAUUCUCAUGGGAUUUUAUUAGUUCUUGUCAGGGCCAUAUCCUACUCCCUUUUCUAGUAAAAUGUACCAGAAAAUAUAUGCUUCACCACAAACAUGAAAGAAACAGUUUUAUGGGGGAUAAUGAGGGAUACAUAUCACCUUUUCCUGUCCUCCAAACAGGCAAGAUGGAACUUCAGUUGUAUUUUUAACCCUAUUUUCAGAGGAUGAAUUAAUACACGAAAACUACACAUACCUUAAGAAGGGCUAAGGAUGGAGUGUGAUAGUGUGAUUUCAGGAGGAAAUUAAUACCCAGCAGCCAGAAUUCUGUUGAAAUAAUUUGCCACUCUUCACCCAGAGGUGAAAUGUGGGACUGAGUUGCUGGGGCUAAAUAAUAUGCAGGACAAAAGUGAGACUCGUGCCCAAACACAGCAGCCUUUAUUGUCAGUAUCAAGGGUUACUUUGGACGACCAGUUGCCCAUCUCAGAAAUCCAGCUUGUCAUUUAUUGGCAAAGAAGGUAGGAUUGACGGAAUGACAAGCCUGCUACACACCAGCACUUAGAGGAGUGGGGGAAAACGUGACCUUUGAA
ensembl:lncRNA